CUUAAUCCAUGGAGUCAUGCUUGGAACUCUCAUCAAUAUUGGUAUCACGCUUAUGCAUCCAGAAUUCAACUCGAAUGAAUCGAACAUAAAUAAACGCGGAUCGAAGCAAGAGGGGAUGCUUAUCGAUUUCAACGCGGCGACGGAAACAAGUUGAAGGCUUGAAUUGGAGGGAGUAUAUUUUCAGUGCAAGUUCAGUUGCAGCCUGAAGAAAUGUUCGAUUUGCAGCAAAACUCAGGUUGCAGAAUCGAGUUUUCUGCUGCAGAGGUGAAGAGCUAGCAGAAUCAGAAAAAGGCUCUGAUGCAGGGUGGAAGGGAAAUGAUGCAGAGAAGUAGAAAGAAAAUGAAAGUGAGUGAGGAAGAUGAAGGUAUAACAGAAUGGUUGAAAAGUGAAGAUUGAAGCAGAAUGUGCAGGUUGAAGAAGUGAAACAGAAAAUGAUGGAGAAAGGUAUUUAUAGACUCUAAAAUUCGGUUAAAAAUGUAGCUCAAAUGCAAUAUGAAAUUCAUUAUAAAUGAUCGGUUUGUUAUAAAUUGGGAUUUGGUUAGUUAGAAAAUUGAAUGGCAAUGAAAUUCAAUUGAAAUUAACUUGAAAUGAUUAAUUGGUUGAAAGUUGUUAGGAUUGGUUGGAAUUAAAAUCAAUCUGACUGCUAUUUGUUUGUUUGAAGUUGGUUUGAGUUGGAGAUUUUGAUUUUAGUUAGUGAGUUAUGACUCAUCUUUGUUACAUUAGUCAAGGUAUGUAAUGAGUCAUGUUAGAAUGUUAUGUAAUGAAUGUUUGGAUGUAAUUAUGGAUUAGUAUAGAAAGUUUUUGAAUGUGAAUAGAAUGAUUUAAUGGA